UACGAAGGGUGCAAGCGUUAAUCGGAAUUACUGGGCGUAAAGCGCGCGUAGGUGGUUCGUUAAGUUGGAUGUGAAAGCCCCGGGCUCAACCUGGGAACUGCAUCCAAAACUGGCGAGCUAGAGUACGGUAGAGGGUGGUGGAAUUUCCUGUGUAGCGGUGAAAUGCCGUAGAUAUAGGAAUGGAACACCAGUGGCGAAGGCGACCACCUGGACUGAUACUGACACUGAGGUGCGAAAGCGUGGGGAGCAAACAGG
rnacentral:rRNA from 1 species